rnacentral:rRNA from 1 species
GACGAACGCUGGCGGCGUGCCUAAUACAUGCAAGUCGAACGAGAGCGACCGGUGCUUGCACUGGUCAAUCUAGUGGCGAACGGGUGAGUAACACGUGGGUAACCUGCCCAUCAGAGGGGGAUAACAUCCGGAAACGGAUGCUAAAACCGCAUAGGUCUUCGAGCCGCAUGGCUUGAAGAGGAAAAGAGGCGCAAGCUUCUGCUGAUGGAUGGACCCGCGGUGCAUUAGCUAGUUGGUGAGGUAACGGCUCACCAAGGCCGUGAUGCAUAGCCGACCUGAGAGGGUGAUCGGCCACAUUGGGACUGAGACACGGCCCAAACUCCUACGGGAGGCAGCAGUAGGGAAUCUUCCGCAAUGGACGCAAGUCUGACGGAGCAACGCCGCGUGAGUGAAGAAGGUUUUCGGAUCGUAAAACUCUGUCGUUAGAGAAGAACAAGUGCUAGAGUAACUGUUAGCGCCUUGACGGUAUCUAACCAGAAAGCCACGGCUAACUACG